UAAGAUUAUAGUACCGCAUGGUACAGCAAUUAAAGGAGCAAUCCGCUAUGAGAUGGGCCCGCGGCGCAUUAGCUAGUUGGUGAGGUAACGGCUCACCAAGGCGACGAUGCGUAGCCGACCUGAGAGGGUGAUCGGCCACAUUGGGACUGAGACACGGCCCAGACUCCUACGGGAGGCAGCAGUGGGGAAUAUUGCACAAUGGGGAAACCCUGAUGCAGCAACGCCGCGUGAAUGAUGACGGCCUUCGGGUUGUAAAGCUCUGUCUUCAGGGACGAUAAUGACGGUACCUGAGGAGGAAGCCACGGCUAACUACGUG
rnacentral:rRNA from 1 species